AGAGACAGCAACUCAUUCAAGAGUUGGAGAAAGAGAGUGAGUCUUUAAGAGUAGAAACAAUUCUGCAGAAAAACUCAGGUGGCGGUAAUGCUUCCAAAAGAUGUUUGCCAACCGCCAUUAAAAAGGAAAGAAGAAGCAAUGUAGACUCCACUGGUGUAGCCCCUGUCUGUGCUACCGUCAGGCAGCACAGCCAUGCUGGUGGGGUAACAUGGGUCGUGCUGCUGUCUUGUCUUGGUUUUGCUUUGGUUAUUUGUUAUGUUUUUUUGUUUUGCUUGUCUUGUCCUUUUGUUUGUGUAACUUUCAUCUUUAUUUAGUAGGGAGGUGGCUCUGAGGGGGGUCUAGUUUAAGCACAUGUGUGAUGUUUUUGGUGUAUUCCUUGUAGCUUUACUGUGUACCUUUGCUGUGUAACAGGUGAACCUUUCUUUAUGCUUGCAUGAUAUUGGUCUGAACUUCCAUAGUUGCCACCCUCAGAUCUCCACUUCCCUACCUUUUUGUCUUAAUAAAUAUUGUUUUCCUGUAAUUCAUGUCCACUGUGUAGUUACGAACCUGAAAGCGGUACAAUCUCUUAAAGAUUCCCUGACGCAUUAGGCUUCAGGGUGGCGUAGUCAGGCUACUGUGAUUGGCCCCUUGGCCCUUCCUAUGUAUCACCCUGUUUACAUUCUGGCGUAAGUUGGCAGGACACAUAAGACAUGAAUUCCAGGUAUGUUAAUUUGUUGGCAGAUUGUUUUUGUGCUUCUUUGCUUUUUAUUUCUAAGACAAGACAGCAGCCGGCCAGGAGUUUAUGGAUCUGGAGAGCUUUACCGACCAGCCUUCCUGUGGACCUCUCCUACCAUCCUCAGGCUUUCUGGAAGUCUUUGGUGCCUCCUCUGGACCAGCCCUGUGCGGACUUAGUUGCAGGAGUUAGCCUCUUAGCGACCACUGGUGUGGCAUUGGCCUACCAGGUGCCAUGGAUGUGACUUAUGGACAGCGGCAGUCAGACUACUGGGUCUCCUGUGUUCUGGAUAGCGGCGGCCGGACUGCCGGGUCUCCUGUGUUCUGGAUAGCAGCGGCCGGACUGCCGGUUCUCCUGUGUUCUGGAUAGCGGCGGUCGGACUGCCGCGUCUCCACUGUGUCCUGGCUAGUGGGGUCGGACUGCCGGGUCACCAAGAUUUUGGUUUUAAUGGCCAAUGGUCAUAUUUUAAUCUUUUAGCUUCUGGGCUCUGUAUAUUGGGGACCUUAUAUAUACUUUUACCUGUUGCCCUUUUAGUUCACUGAAGGUCUGAAGCACUGGUGUGAAGUCGUACGCAAGUUUACCUGUGCAAGGGUAUUGGGUAUUUUAUUUUGAAAUACAUUCUGAUUUAUUUUUGCCCAUCCCUGCCUGUUCCCAGCAUCAGAACACUGCGAUGGUUAGCUUGUCACCUGUGACUCUUUAUGCUAGGUCAGUCACUUACGCCUAUCUUGGUGCGUUUGGAGAUGCCUGAUGACGUUGUUGAAUAGGCAUAAUUUAUCCUGGUGCCACGCACCUUGCAUGUAGCUGUUCGGUUAUUUCCUCUGCACAAAGUUUUUGUAACCGAGAGUAAUGAUAAAAGGCACAACUCCGGGAAGACUUCUUGUCGCCAUGGUAUCUGUGAUGUAUUUAUAUCUAUAUCAUUUUUAUAUAUAUUUAUCAUUUAUAUCUGAGUGUGCGCACAUAGCGCAUGCGUUACAUUGCACGUUAUGGCAAAGGGGCCAUGCCGGGAUGGGCAAAAAUACAUCAGAAUGUAUUUCAAAAUAAAAUGCCUAAACCUCAUUUUUAAUGUGUCAAAAUAAACUACAAAAUACAGUAACCAUAUUAUGUAUCAAACGGUAUACCGUAUGCAAGUUCAUGUAAUGUGAUCAGAAGAAUAAUUCAAGAAUUUACAUUUAGUCAUCUAGCUGAUGCUUAUCCAAAAUGACUGACAGAGCUUUCAAUUAACCACAUUAUAA